CCCUUAGAUGUUCUGGGCCGCACGCGCGCUACACUGAUUCAUGCAACAAGUUUUGUCCUUGGCUGAUAGGCCCGGGUAAUCUUUGAACGUGAAUCGUGAUGGGGAUAGAUGAUUGCAAUUAUUCAUCUUCAACGAGGAAUUCCUAGUAAACGCAAGUCAUCAGCUUGCAUUGAUUACGUCCCUGCCCUUUGUACACACCGCCCGUCGCACCUACCGAUUGAAUGGUCCGGUGAAAUCUUCGGAUCUGAGAGAUGUCUGAUUAAUUUCGGACGCCUUUUGGAAAAGUUGCUUAAACCUUACCAUUUAGAGGAAGGUGAAGUCGUAACA
rnacentral:rRNA from 1 species